rnacentral:rRNA from 1 species
GAUGAACGCUGGCGGCGCGCCUAACACAUGCAAGUCGAACGGUUAAAGCACCUUUUAGGUGUGUAUAAAGUGGCGAACGGCUGAGUAACACGUGGGCAACCUGCCCUCCUCUUGGGGAUAGCCUCGGGAAACCGAGGAUAAUACCCGAUACUUCAAUGUGGCCGCAUGACGACAUUGAGAAAGCUUUUGCGGAGAAGGAUGGGCCCGCGGCCUGUUAGCUUGUUGGUGGGGUAGAGGCCUACCAAGGCAAUGAUGGGUAGCUGGGUUGAGAGACCGACCAGCCAGAGUGGGACCGGGACACGGCCCAGGCUCCUACGGGAAGCAGCAGGGGGGAAUCUUGGACAAUGGGCGAAAGCCUGAUGCAGCGACGCCGCGGGCGGGACGAAGGCCUUCGGGUUGUAAACCGCUUUCAGCAGGGACGAGGCGAUAAGUGACGGUACCUGCAGAAGAAGCCCCGGCUAACUACGUG